rnacentral:rRNA from 1 species
UACGUAGGGUGCAAGCGUUAAUCGGAAUUACUGGGCGUAAAGCGUGCGCAGGCGGUUCGGAAAGAGAGGUGUGAAAUCCCAGGGCUUAACCUUGGAACUGCACUUCUAACUACCGGGCUAGAGUACGUCAGAGGGGGGUAGAAUUCCACGUGUAGCAGUGAAAUGCGUAGAGAUGUGGAGGAAUACCGAUGGCGAAGGCAGCCCCCUGGGCUAACACUGACGCUCAUGCACGAAAGCGUGGGGAGCAAACAGG